CGGAAGGAUCAUUGUCGAA
rnacentral:rRNA from 1 species